rnacentral:misc_RNA from 1 species
AAGAGUAAGGGUGCUCAGCGCCCGACCUCCAACCCUUUGUUGUUAAAACUACCUUGUUGCUUUGGCGGGACCGCUCGGUCUCGAGCCGCUGGGGAUUCGUCCCAGGCGAGCGCCCGCCAGAGUUAAACCAAACUCUUGUUAUUUAACCGGUCGUCUGAGUUAAAAUUUUGAAUAAAUCA